rnacentral:rRNA from 1 species
AGGGAAGGACAUGUUCCGUUUUAAUAAGGGGGCACCUUGACGGUACCUAACGAGAAAGCCCCGGCUAAAUACGUGCCAGCAGCCGCGGUAAUAUGUAGGGGGCAAGCGUUUUUUGGAAUUAUUGGGCGUAAAGCGCGCGCGGGGGGUGUUUUAAGUGUGAUGUGAAAGCCCCCGGGUCAACCCUGGAGAGUCACUGGAAACUGGGAGACUUGAGUGUGGAAGAGGGGAGUGGAAUUUUACGUGUAGCGGUGAAAUGUGUAGAGAUGUGGAGGAACACCCGUGGGGAGGGGGACUUUCUGGUCUGUAACUGACACUGAGGCGCGAAAGCGUGGGGAGCAAACAGGAUUAGAUACCCCGGUGGUCCACGCCCU